UCGAGCGGAGGUAAGCGGAUGGUAACUGAAGCUUACUUUAGCGGCGGACGGGUGAGUAACACGUGGGCAACCUGCCUCGAAGUGGGGGAUAACACCGAGAAAUCGGUGCUAAUACCGCAUAACAUACAGACGCCACCUGGUGACUGUAUCAAAGGAGAAAUCCGCUUUGAGAUGGGCCCGCGGCUGAUUAGCUAGUUGGUGAGGUAAUGGCUCACCAAGGCGACGAUCAGUAGCCGACCUGAGAGGGUGACCGGCCACACUGGAACUGAGACACGGUCCAGACUCCUACGGGAGGCAGCAGUGGGGAAUAUUGCGCAAUGGGGGAAACCCUGACGCAGCAACGCCGCGUGGAGGAAGAAGGUCUUCGGAUUGUAAACUCCUGUCUUCUGGGACGAUAAUGACGGUACCAGAGGAGGAAGCCACGGCUAACUACGUGCCAGCAGCCGCGGUAAUACGUAGGUGGCGAGCGUUGUCCGGAAUUACUGGGCGUAAAGGGCGCGUAGGCGGUUCUUUAAGUUAGAUGUGAAAACCCAGGGCUUAACUUUGGGGGUGCAUUUAAAACUGAAGGACUCGAGUGCAGGAGAGGUAAGUGGAAUUCCUAGUGUAGCGGUGAAAUGCGUAGAUAUUAGGAGGAACACCAGUGGCGAAGGCGACUUACUGGACUGUAACUGACGCUGAGGCGCGAAAGCGUGGGGAGCAAACAGGAUUAGAUACCCUGGUAGUCCACGCUGUAAACGAUGGAUACUAGGUGUGGGAGGUAUCGACCCUUCCGU
rnacentral:rRNA from 1 species